rnacentral:rRNA from 1 species
UACGAAGGGUGCAAGCGUUACUCGGAAUUACUGGGCGUAAAGCGUGCGUAGGUGGUUUGUUAAGUCUGAUGUGAAAGCCCUGGGCUCAACCUGGGAAUGGCAUUGGAAACUGGCUUACUAGAGUGCGGUAGAGGGUAGUGGAAUUCCCGGUGUAGCAGUGAAAUGCGUAGAUAUCGGGAGGAACAUCUGUGGCGAAGGCGACUACCUGGACCAGCACUGACACUGAGGAGCGAAAGCCAGGGGAGCAAACGGG